rnacentral:rRNA from 1 species
CACGUAGGGCGCGAGCGUUGUCCGGAAUUAUUGGGCGUAAAGAGCUCGUAGGCGGCCUGUUGCGUCCGCUGUGAAAGCCCGGGGCUUAACCCCGGGUCGGCAGUGGAUACGGGCAGGCUAGAGGUAGGUAGGGGAGAAUGGAAUUCCCGGUGUAGCGGUGAAAUGCGCAGAUAUCGGGAGGAACACCGGUGGCGAAGGCGGUUCUCUGGGCCUUACCUGACGCUGAGGAGCGAAAGCUAGGGGAGCAAACGGG